UGCUGCACCAAUUUACAUUCCCAUUAACAGUGCACAAGGGUUCCCUUUCUUCCACAUGCCACAUCCUCACCAGCACAUGUUAUUUCUUGUCCUUUUUGUAUCACUCCUCCUGCAUUUAUUAAUUGGAAUUCUGUCUGUAAAAAACUCACCCUCAUGGACUAUCUGAGUCUCCUGAAAUUUAGAUUCUGCAGGAAAGACAGGGAAAAGGCUUAAUUUUUUUUCCUUUAAUCAAUUUUCUGAAUAAUGAUUGUGCUCUAACAACCUCCCAUGAUAAUCAAUGUUUCUCUUUUUAAUGUAUCAUUAAGAACUGUGGAUCUUAAUGUAUUUGCUUCAGUCCAUUGCAGUCAAUAUUCUUUCUGAUGCUCAAUUUGCCCUCGUCUCCUGUAUACUGUUACGAAGGCCCCACUGGUGCCUGAUACUUUCUUGCUUUCUGGUACAAGAUAUUCGAAGCUUAUCUUGUCCAUUCCGGGCUUCAGACCUGAAGUCAGCCAUUUUCCCAAGGAGAACUAAUUCUUUUUACUGAAAACCAUUUAUCUCCCCUGAUUUUUGCUCCUCUUAGUAGUUAUAUUAUUUUUACCUUGGUCUUAAGCCUUUCAUCUUAAGUGUUUGUUUCUUUUAAAUCCUUCUCAUCAGGCUGUGUCUAAGACCGUCAUUUUCUCCCUCUAAUAAAAUAGCUGGUGAUGACCAUCCCCUCCGUCUGUAUUUCCUGCCAGAGCCUUGGCUCUGACUUUUUCUGAGCUUUGGCCUCUGAGAUCUUUUCUGCGGUGCUCUGCCACCUUCUUCAGCUCCUGGAAAUCUGUUCAUUUCCAGCAGCCAGAGGGCUCACCGAUGUGCCACGUUGUUCCCAAAGCCCAGCCGUGAUUCUCAGGCUUUGGACUGGCUUCUCUCCCCGACCUCUUCCCCGUCCACCCUUCCCUCGGGCAGGGUCCCUGACCUGGCUGGUGAGGCUGGAGAGACUGGCCGAACUGCUGCUGGCUCUGUGCUGACAUCCUCUCAUUUCCAUCUGCGUCACUACCCGGAAGAUUCCCUCUCCAAGAGGAACAAGGUAGCCUAUCGCCCUGUCCAGGGUGAAGCGCGUUACCUGGGACUUCAUCCCUCCUCUGCCAGAAAGGAAAUUGAGAUGCAGAGAAGAGAAGCAAAGUUGCCUGAGAUCAUCCUUUAAGUGGAGGAGCCAGGAUUUGAACCCGAGAAAACAGGCUCCAUAUGAAAAGGUCUACCUCUCCUGCUGUAUCUUCUCUCUAAAUAAAAUAUGUAUUUCCUGAUUGCAGUCUUA